ACUCUACAAAAUAACUUAUUUUUAAUCCCAACCUAUAAGAAUGACUAUCAUUCGCAUUCCUAGAAAUAAAAGUUCUUUAUUGAUUGUUCGAUAAAGAACUUUUAAUAUCCAUGCAACCUGCACAAAAUGUUCCUUAAAGUUACAAAAAAAAGGUUCUUUUAAGAACUGUUUCCUGAAUGCGUCUUUGGAGAACCCAAAAUGGUUCUAUUGCAUCACUACAAAAUCCCCUUUUGGAACCUUUAUUUCAAUAGUUUAAUCAGGAUGAUGUUUUCCAGUAAGUCAGUGUUUCAUUCUGAGUGAAGGGUUUGCCCCUAAGCCCUGAAGAGUUCAGUCUAGAGGCACGCGUUGACACGUUUUCUGUAUUUUGCAGAGAUUCAGAGGCCACCUUUCAUCUGUGACCCUAACCAGGACAAACAAGACCCCCAUAGUGCCGGAACAAUGCCUUUAUGUCACAGAUCUGGAUGAGUCUGGGUGGAUGCAGAGAUGAUGUCCUUCCUUAAAGUCCCACCUUUUCAUGAAGGAGGUGCGUUUGACCCUCAAGCUCCUGGCAGAACGUAAUGAACGACAGAAACACACGCAGCCUGUCUGGACACAUGGCAUGCAGCUCCUCUGGAACAUCUUGUCAAAUAUUUUAUUCCUCUGAGGCGGAGGAGAAAAGAGCGCAUGUGAAAACCCGUGGAAAAAUAAACACCUGUGGCAGUUCAGCAUAUUUUCCUGGAAGUAAGUGUAUAUGCCCACAUUUACCUGCUUCUGUAUUUUAGAUGACAAAGCGCUUGUCCCAUGAGAUCCACAGCAGGAUAUCUUCACAUAUGCACUAAACAUAAAGUUUUAUGCCAUCCUCAGCCAAAUACAUAACAA